rnacentral:rRNA from 1 species
UACGAAGGGGGCUAGCGUUGCUCGGAAUUACUGGGCGUAAAGCGCACGUAGGCGGUCUUUUAAGUCGGGGGUGAAAUCCUGGAGCUCAACUCCAGAACUGCCUUCGAUACUGGAAGACUUGAGUCCGGGAGAGGUGAGUGGAACUGCGAGUGUAGAGGUGAAAUUCGUAGAUAUUCGCAAGAACACCAGUGGCGAAGGCGGCUCACUGGCUCGGUACUGACGCUGAGGUGCGAAAGCGUGGGGAGCAAACAGG